UACGAAGGGGGCUAGCGUUGUUCGGAAUUACUGGGCGUAAAGCGCACGUAGGCGGAAUGUUAAGUCAGGGGUGAAAUCCCGGGGCUCAACCCCGGAACUGCCUUUGAUACUGGCAUUCUCGAGUCCGGAAGAGGUGAGUGGAAUUCCGAGUGUAGAGGUGAAAUUCGUAGAUAUUCGGAGGAACACCAGUGGCGAAGGCGACUCACUGGACACGUAUUGACGCUGAGGUGCGAAAGCGUGGGGAGCAAACAGGG
rnacentral:rRNA from 1 species